UAGAAAUAUUAAAAGUUUGUCAGAUAUCCAGAUUGUACAGGUUGCUUGUGGUUACUAUCAUUCACUUGCACUUUCUAAAGCAAGUGAAGUCUUCUGUUGGGGACAGAAUAAAUAUGGCCAAUUGGGUUUAGGUACUGACUGUAAAAAGCAAACUUCACCGCAGCUGCUUAAGUCUUUGCUUGGAAUCCCUUUCAUGCAAGUUGCAGCAGGAGGAGCCCAUAGUUUUGUACUCACCCUUUCUGGAGCUAUCUUUGGAUGGGGACGCAACAAGUUUGGUCAGCUAGGUCUUAAUGAUGAAAAUGAUAGGUAUGUUCCUAAUUUACUAAAGUCACUAAGAUCUCAGAAAAUAGUUUAUAUUUGUUGUGGAGAAGAUCAUACUGCUGCUCUAACCAAGGAAGGUGGAGUGUUUACUUUUGGAGCUGGAGGGUAUGGUCAGUUGGGCCAUAAUUCUACCAGUCAUGAAAUAAACCCAAGGAAAGUUUUUGAACUUAUGGGAAGCAUUGUCACUCAGAUUGCUUGUGG
rnacentral:lncRNA from 1 species